rnacentral:rRNA from 1 species
UCAGCAGUCAAGAAUAUUAGUCAAUGCUCGCAAGAGUGAACUAGCUAACUGAAAUCACAGGAUCCACUACGUGUGGUGAAUGUAAUAACGUAAGGGAAAAAAAAUGAUAUUACCUUACUAUUAGUGUUGUCCAAAACUGGUGCCAGAAGACUCGGUAAGGCCAGAGACGCAAACGUUAGUCGUCCUAAUCAGGCGUAAAGGGUAUGUAGGCUGCUUUAAAAGUAUUAUAUUUAAUAGCUCUGUAUAAAUAAUUUAUUUUUAUAAAAUAAAAAUAUUUCUAUAUUUAAACAGUAAAUAUAAAAUGAAUUAAAGCUAGAAUCAAAUUGAGGAUAAGUCAAAUAAUACUUAGUGUAGGGUUUAAAUCUGGUGAUACUAGGUGGAGUACUAAAGGUGAAAGCUUUUUAUCUAUAAAUGAUUGACGCUGAGAAACGAAGGUGAGAAAAGAAAAUAGGAUUAGAUACCCAGAUAUCUCUCACAGUCAACGAUGAAUGGUGGUUGUUAGUUUAAUAUAACUGAUAACGAUGUUAACACGAUAACCAUUCCGCCUUGCGAGUACGGUUGCAAAACUGAAACCAAAAAAAUUAGUCGGUCUCGAAGCAAACGAAGUGAAGCAUGUUAUUUAAUUCGAUAAUCCGCA